GAUGAACGCUGGCGGCGUGCCUAAUACAUGCAAGUCGAGCGAACAGACGAGGAGCUUGCUCCUCUGACGUUAGCGGCGGACGGGUGAGUAACACGUGGAUAACCUACCUAUAAGACUGGGAUAACUUCGGGAAACCGGAGCUAAUACCGGAUAAUAUAUUGAACCGCAUGGUUCAAUAGUGAAAGACGGUUUUGCUGUCACUUAUAGAUGGAUCCGCGCCGCAUUAGCUAGUUGGUAAGGUAACGGCUUACCAAGGCGACGAUGCGUAGCCGACCUGAGAGGGUGAUCGGCCACACUGGAACUGAGACACGGUCCAGACUCCUACGGGAGGCAGCAGUAGGGAAUCUUCCGCAAUGGGCGAAAGCCUGACGGAGCAACGCCGCGUGAGUGAUGAAGGUCUUCGGAUCGUAAAACUCUGUUAUUAGGGAAGAACAAAUGUGUAAGUAACUAUGCACGUCUUUACGGUACCUAAUCAGAAAGCCACGGCUAACUACGUG
rnacentral:rRNA from 1 species